AUGGCUGAAUGCUUCAAUAGGGUGCUCAAAGGUGCACGUGGAUUACCCGUGACGGCAAUAGUUCAAUACACAUUUGACAAGAUGAAUGCGUACUUUCUAAAGUACUCGAUGGAAACUGAUGCAUAGAUAGCGGGUGAGAACCCGCGCAAGUACAAGUUCCCACCCAAGGUUGAUGAAUGGUUAGAAUUUCAAUCACGAAAGGAGGACUCAGAAGAAGCUAUAUUAUAUGACAACGAAGAGUGGAAGUAUGAAGUGAAAGAGCCAGGAGGAACCACAAACGAUGGCCGACAACAUGGAGGUCGGGCUUUCAAGGUGUCUUUAACACAAUGUGAUUGCUCUUGCGGGAGGCCAUUGUUGCUUCAUCUCCCAUGCUCACAUUUGUAUACCGCCGGUCGCGUUAGAAAUGUGGACAUCAAUCACCCACGCACCGUGAGGGAGUUGGAGUUCUCAAUCAUGACGGUCAAGAAAACACAGGCUCCCCGCUUUCACCCAUACUUUGACCAAACACAAUGGCCGGAGUACCAUGGAGUUCAACUAUGGCCGGAGUACCAUGGAGUUCAAUUACAUGUGUGGCGCCUAGCUCGGAGGCGCUGCACUACUGGGUGCGGGCCCAAGGGCUGCCACGGUGGACGGGCGUGUAACGCCCCAGAGCUGGGCGUUGCAUCGUAG
rnacentral:rRNA from 1 species